rnacentral:rRNA from 1 species
GAUGAACGCUGGCGGCGUGCCUAAUACAUGCAAGUCGAGCGAACGGACGAGAAGCUUGCUUCUCUGAUGUUAGCGGCGGACGGGUGAGUAACACGUGGAUAACCUACCUAUAAGACUGGGAUAACUUCGGGAAACCGGAGCUAAUACCGGAUAAUAUUUUGAACCGCAUGGUUCAAAAGUAAAAGACGGUCUUGCUGUCACUUAUAGAUGGAUCCGCGCUGCAUUAGCUAGUUGGUAAGGUAACGGCUUACCAAGGCAACGAUGCAUAGCCGACCUGAGAGGGUGAUCGGCCACACUGGAACUGAGACACGGUCCAGACUCCUACGGGAGGCAGCAGUAGGGAAUCUUCCGCAAUGGGCGAAAGCCUGACGAAGCAACGCCGCGUGAGUGAUGAAGGUCUUCGGAUCGUAAAACUCUGUUAUUAGGGAAGAACAUAUGUGUAAGUAACUGUGCACAUCUUGACGGUACCUAAUCAGAAAGCCACGGCUAACUACGUG